rnacentral:rRNA from 1 species
CAAGGAAUUUUGUGCAAUGGGCGAAAGCCUGACACAGCGACGCCGCGUGGGGGAGGAAGGCUUUCGGGUUGUAAACCCCUUUUCCCAGGGAGGAAUAAAAUGACAGUACCUGGGGAAUAAGCCAUGGCUAACUACGUGCCAGCAGCCGCGGUAAAACGUAGGUGGCAAGCGUUAUCCGGAUUUAUUGGGCGUAAAGAGGGCGCAGGCGGCUUUUCAAGUCGGGCGUAAAAUCUCCCAGCUUAACUGGGAGGGACCGUUCGAUACUGUUAAGCUUGAGGACAACAGGGGGAGGUAGAAUUCCCGGUGUAGUGGUGAAAUGCGUAGAUAUCGGGAGGAAUACCAGUGGCGAAGGCGGCCUCCUGGGUUGUUACUGACGCUUAAGCCCGAAGGCGUGGGGAGCAAACAGG